CACCAAUUUGAUCCUCUCCAAAGCUAGAGGUCAAGGUAAUGUGGUUAUUGCUGUAGCAUCCUCUGGGAUAGCAGCUAAAUUAAUGCUUGGUGGAAGAAAUGCACAUUCACGAUUCAAAAUACCCAUCCAAGUGAACGAGAAUACAUUCUGCAACAUUGCGAAGAACUCUAACACGGCACGUUUGAAACUCAUUUUUUGGGAUGAAUGCACAAUGAUUAGGAGGUAGAGCUUUGAAGCAGUGGACAGAACUCUUCAAGAUGUAUGCACCAACAGUAAGCCUUUUGGCGGCAUUCUUACGGCAUUUGUUGUGGUGAUUUUUGACAACUCCUUCAUGUAGUGAAAAGGGGAAAGCUGAUGUUGAAAAUUCUUGCAUCAAGAAAUCCUACUUGUGGACACUUUUCACCAAGUAUCAAUUGCAGAUGAAUAUGCGAUUGAAAGAGGGAGAAGGCGAUUAUUGUCAAUUUUUGUUGAAAGUUGGAGAAGACGAGAUUUUAAAGAAUGAAGACGAUUAAAUUGAAAUGCCACAAGACAUAGUUCUAUCAGCAAAAACACUGGAGGAUUGUUUUGAUUUAACCUAUCCCGCAUUUGGCAAUCCUGUAGAAUUAUUCUCUGACAAUUGUAUCUUGGUUCCGCAGAACGAUACGAUGAGAAGCAUCAAUUCUCCAUGCAUCAGACGUUUCCCUCGAAUCAUUAAAGUGCUUUUCUUUCAUUGCUGUCACUGAGGGAACUGAUGCUACUCACUUCCCAACAGAAUUCCUCGAUUCACUCGACAUCUCUGGUUUACCACCACACAAAUUGGAGUUGAAAAAAGGAUCUCCGAUCAUGUUAAUGAGGAACUUGGAUUCAUUCUCCUUGCCCUGCCCCCAAAGCUAUGCAAUGGAACGCGGAUGAUUGUGGAAGAGCGACACAAUAAUAUGAUCGUUGCCAGAAUCAACAUCAAGGAAUGUUCUCAUUCCUAGGAUAAUGCUCAAUUUGACAAAGAGCAAACAUAUUCCCCUUCAGCGGACCCAAUUCCCCAUCCAGUCCAGUCAAUUGACAAUCCAUAAAAUGCAAGGGCAAGCCAUGGAGAAAGUGUUGAUAUACCUCGAGAAACCGGUAUUUCAGUAUGGACAACUAUAUGUGGUUCUUAGCCAAGGAAAGGUGAAGGAAAAUGUCAGAGUUUUCCUGAAGGAUGGAACAUCAACCAAGAAUGGUGUCAUUAAAGGCAUGCUUGGUUGAAUGAUGACUUCUGAGCAAAGAGACAUUGAGAUGCAGUGAGGAGCAGAAUACAACAAGACGCAACUAGAAAGAACUGAACAGAAUAAAUCUCAUCUUUAACGUUCAGAUUGUUGUUUUAUUUUAAGAGUUAUUCACAUUUUAAGCAUUAAUAUAUCUCUUUUCCACUU